CUUACAGAGUUUCUUGGCAUUCUGUCCACCUCCACUUCCACUUUCAGUUCCAUGGAUCUCUCUCUCUUUUUGGCCCUAUCUACGUACUCGGAGGUGGACAUACUGCCAAUAGAGCUGUGUUGG
rfam:Glycine soja cultivar W05 scaffold183_68, whole genome shotgun sequence.